AUGAGCCCUAAUUGUUGGACAUAAAGUCAAAAGAUCGGCACUUGAAAAUUAUGAAUUCUCCCUGUGAUGUAUAAAGCCAGAAAGAGCAUGAAUACCAUUCUAACAAUAAGAAAAAGCUGGAUCAAUUACAAAAUCAUAUAAGUUUUCAUGAAUCCAUCAGAGAAUUGAGGUUAUUGCACAAACAAGUAGCUUGAUACCUGAGACAAUAUGAGUUAAUUUCCCAUGGGAAGGUUUGAUGUGAGCACUGACCCACAGUGGCAGAGAAGAGGAAGAAGAGACAUGGAUACCAUACAA